CCUACGUGAGGCUGCAGUCGAGAAUCAUUCACAAUGGGGGAAACCCUGAUGGUGCGACGCCGCGUGGGGGAAUGAAGGUCUUCGGAUUGUAAACCCCUGUCCUCUGUGAAGAUAAUGACGGUAGCAGAGGAGGAAGCUCCGGCUAACUACGUGCCAGCAGCCGCGGUAAUACGUAGGGAGCAAGCGUUGUCCGGAUUUACUGGGUGUAAAGGGUGCGUAGGCGGCCCUGCAAGUCAGAAGUGAAAUCCAUGGGCUUAACCCGUGAACUGCUUUUGAAACUGUAGGGCUUGAGUGAAGUAGAGGCAGGCGGAAUUCCCGGUGUAGCGGUGAAAUGCGUAGAGAUCGGGAGGAACACCAGUGGCGAAGGCGGCCUGCUGGGCUUUAACUGACGCUGAAGCACGAAAGCGUGGGUAGCAAACAGGAUUAGAUACCCGUGUAGUC
rnacentral:rRNA from 1 species